GUACAGCACAAUUUCUACUGCUUUUUGUAUGACCUAGAAGUAACCCUUCAGUACCUUUCAGGUACACAAUGGAUACAGGAUAAAUCUCAUGAUCCCAACCAUUCCACACCGUGACCUCAAAGAUGAAAUUUAGUCAGCAAUAGCUGAAGCAAACUUCUCUUGACCUCAAGAAUGCACUCCUGAGUAGAAAAUUAAAGGUUGCUUAAAUCUU